AACGAGUUGACAUUCUCACCUUCUCGUUUCCCUAUUAACCCUCGAGACCCGUGCAAAAUUACACCCCACAAACUUCUCUCCCCUGCGAGAAGUGUAACCGCUUUCGUCUCUCAUUCACUUUCCCUUUCUCUUUCUUCUCCUUCUCCUCUCAUCGGAAGUUAGUUACGGUAAACCAUUUUCGGCAGAUUCUUUGAAUGUAACUGACACUCGAUUUUGUCCCUCAUACUUGAUUAAUCACAAGUUAUUUUGUAGUCAUCUAAUUAUUGGUUCGUAGUCAUCUAAUUUGAUUUAAUCGUUUCGUCCCCAAUUUCUAGGGUUUCUGUCCAUCUGCAUGCUCCUUUUCCACUGUUCGAUUUUCAAAGAAAUUCUUAAUUUUUUCUCCUGUUUUCUCUCCUCCGCCGCAGAUGAAGUCCUCCUCGAGUAAAUUGAAACAAAAGUCUCCGCUUGGCAGUUCCAGGCGCCCGGUUUCCUUUGAAGACGACGACGACCCUUUUGUCUCCGCCAAGUCAACCGCGACCCACUCAAAUUCUCCAUAUCAGCCGCGACCGGAGAUCCCGGUAGUAAACAGGGACAAACUUCCGAAAAGGCUCUACGCCACUGACUGCUAUCCGCCUCUCGGACGUAUUAAUGCUUAUUCAAAGCCGGAGUAUCUGCUCGAUCUCGUCGAAAUCCUAGAAGGGACAAAAGAGUUAAAUUAUCUCCGCGCCUCAUGCUUUGGCCCGCUGUUUCAGCUUCCUGUCCGCAAAUGUUCGUUUUCCGGCAAAUUAGUACAUCAGAUGUUGUGUAGAGGCGUCUACACAAGGAAAAAACACGAGCUAUGGUUUAUUUUUGCCGGUCAGCCAUUCCGUUUUUCGUUAAGAGAAUUUGCCAUUCUCACUGGUCUGGAUUGUCGGCCGUAUUCUUCACCGGCAGAUGUAUUGAAGUCGCAGAGAGAAUGUACCAAAAAACAUCCGUACUGGAAUAUUCUCAUAGGCGAGGACCACACGGGUGUCCUCAUCAAGGACAUUGUUGACUGGCUGAGGAAAGACAAGAUGAAGCCUAAGAAAGAGAAGAUGGAUGACUGGAGAAGGCUUCGUCUCGCUCUUAUCGUGAUCGUUGAAGGGGUAUUGCUUUGCAGUUCCCAACCUGUGAGAGCUUCUCUUCAAGUUGUCGAAAUGGUUCAGCAUUUGGAGUCGUUUGAAGCGUUUCCAUGGGGACGAGAAUCAUUCCUUCUGACAAUGCGAAUGGUUAAGGUCAGUCAGAAGGUUAACAGUCUCUCUGCCCUAAUUGCGAAGUUCAACCAGUCUCACUCUUCAACCCAUGGGUUCCCUCUUGUCUUCCAACUGCUGAUGUUAAAGGCCAUCCCAGUUUUUGAGAGAUACCUUAAUCAACCUGAUGAUACGCAGACUAUCAUUGAUGGGUCAAUCACUACUUUGCCUCCGUUGAAGACUUUUCACAAUUCCAACAUAAUGGAAACAGAGCUAAUUCCUGGGUUAAGGAUUGCCCCGCUGUUGUCUACUGAUGAUCCCCCACACCCAUCGAUCAACGAUUGGCCUGAUGAAGUCUCUGACCCGGCGAUUGACUAUAUGGAAAGCCUUAUUGGUGGCGGAUACAAGUUCUGCCAAGCUGACUGGAUUGGUAGGUGUCGUACUUGGCCAAAGAUAGUCGUUGAUGAGAACCCCAAAGAACCCAAUGUUCGCAAGACCAAGAAGGUACCUGUGAGACGUCCAAAUAUAAACUCUGACAUGCCUGAGUUUCCCCAGGGUGGUCCAUCUGGUUCAUCAAAAGGUAAAGGGAAGGUCUAUGAAGACUUUUGUCCCCCAGCAGGGACUGAAGGUAAAGAUGUUCUCCAUGCUCUGAUCAUGGAAGAAGUUAAUUCGAAGUUCCGUGACAUGAAAGAGGAAUUGAAGGUUGAAUUGAUGGGUGAAGUCUGUCGGAUGUAUGGAGUAGAGAAGUCUUUAUUGAAAGACGAACUCUUAGACGAGAUUAUUAGCAAUCUGCGCCAUGGUGGGAAGUUUCCAACAACCCCCCCUCCGAAAGCUGCUUCACCAGGUAAAAACAAACCAUCUGAGGGACAAACCUAUGGUCCCCCUAAUAAUGCAAAUGUAAACAAGGAGUCCGGGGGACACGCAGAUGUCCCAUUAACGAACGCUGUUACUGAGGGACAAACGCAUGGUCCCCCAGAAAAUAUAAAUAUCAACAAGGUCCCUAGUGGGCAGACCUCUGAUUCCCCCCAUGUCCAGAUAGACCCUCCCGCCCCAAGUUCUCCUCAAUCGCCGUCUAAGGGGAAAAGUAAUUCUCAACUUUUGGAGGAGUUUCAGCGGCAAACCUGGUCUGAGUACGGAGGAGUGUCUGAUGUUUUACAAAACCUCAACCAGUCUUAUGCAUCUCCCUCUGGUCCUGCUAAGUCUGGUCCGUUUGGACCUUCUCCUGGUCUUGUUGCUUCUGGUCCUUCUACCAUUCAUCCAUCUCCUUCUGGUCCUUCUUCCUCGAAGUUCUCUAUUGAUCACAACCCAAAAGACUUCCAAACUCCAUUGCCAACCAUUAGUGAGGACAACGCAGAGGAAACCGAGGACGAAGAAGUUGCAGAUGAGGUCCUGGUUGGAAAGUCUGUUAAAGAGAAUUUUCCUGAAGAUCACAACCCCAACGACUUCCAAACGCCUCAUCAAGAUGUAGAGGAGAUCAGUUCGGCUGAUGAAUCAGAGGACGAUCAAGAUACAGAGCAGGUUGCUGGUGGAAAUUCUUUUGGUGUGUCUGAGGACGUGGGAUUUGUUGGUGAGGAGAGAAGGGAAGCUAUAGAGAAUAAGUCUGUUGGUGUGUCUGAGCACGUUGAUGUUGUUGAGUGCGAGGACAGAAGGGAGGAAGUAAUUGAAAAGUCUGUUGAUGUCUCCGGGGACGAUGUUGAGACUGAGGUUUUAGAGGAUAAGUCUGUUUCUGGGGACCACGAACCCAAAGAGGGUGACGAGAGUAGUGGUGAUAGUGAAGGAAGGUCUGAAGACGAGGAUCACCAAGAUGAAGCUAUGGACGAGGCAAACAAAGCAUGGCCGCCAGAGCUUUUUAAAUCCUCAAGAGGUGCUGAUGAACAACUGGUUGACGAUCAAGAGGGAAAUGCUACUGGUGGUGUGGCAAUUUCAGAAAAAAGUCCCUCUGGGAAAAAGAGAAAAUCUUCUUCUCUUGGCGGGGAUUCUUCUAAGCCGAUCCUCCCUCCCAAAAGGGCAAGGAAUAAACCCCACCGUUUCCGUGACCCUAUUCCAGUCCAGGGACAAGAAUCCACAGGGACCAACAGUGUUUCCCAAUCAACUGAUGAGGUUUUGCACCCGUUUGUCCUAGUAAAUGAUGAUCUUCGGAAACAUUUCUUGUCCACUCUCAAAUCUUAUCGCCAGAGGGAGUUCGUCCUCGAUGCACAUGUUGUCCCCAGAUCAUUUUUUAAGGAUAUGCUUACUCCUCACCAUUCUGUCCACCAAGAGCACAUCGAUGCCAUGCUAAGCCUGUUGGCUCGGAGGUUUGGGGAUACUUUGGUCCAGAGUAGGUCUGCCAUACUUGAUUCAUGGUUUUCGAUUACCCUUAGCGAACUCUAUUCUCGUUUCAAGAAGUCCAAAAGUAAAUCUGAGUGGCCGUGGAACAGUAAGAUACGGGACUACGUCAGGGGUAUAGUCCCUGGCCGAUUCACGAGACAGGCUUGGUUUUCUGAUGUCGACACUCUGUACGCGCCUUUACAUCUGUCUGGGGGCCACUGGGCUGCGCUUGUCAUAGAUCUGAAAGAGGGUACCAUAGGUGUUCUUGACCCUAACGUGGCUGCCAAAACCGACAAACAGAUGGGCGUGCUCAUGAAACCUCUCGUUGUGUUGCUUCCUUUUAUCAUCAAAUCACUUGUCCCCCAAGAUGUUCUCUGCAAUCAUCAAGUUCCCCCUGAGUUCGCCUUUGAUCGUCUUCCUGAGAUCUUUCAAAGCGAACAUGAAGACGACAGCGGCCCGCUUGCUAUGAAGUACAUUGAGCUUCAUUUCCAAAACAUUAGUCACGACAGCAUAACUGAAGAACUUGUGGAGAAUAUCCGGAUGAGAUUUGCUGUCGACAUCUUCGAGGAGUUUGUUCAGCCUCUCCGGCUGUGAUCCCCCUUUCAAUAUUUCUGCUUAAGAACUUAUGUCUUUUUGUAAUAAUUAUUUACUCUUCUUGGAUGCUACUUGGAUGCUUAGGAACUAAAUAUUUUUAAACUGCUAUCUAUUUAGGAACUACUUGGAUAUUUAGGUUGUCCUCCGCAAACAGAGAUCCUGUCUCCUAAAAUAUUCUAUAUUAUGUUGUCCUGUCGCAAUUUUGGAUAGGCAUUUUUUACAAACAAGUCAACGUUUAGAUACCCAAUAACAACAGUAGAAGCCAGUUGCUCUCCACUAUUCUCUCCCCUAACCCGUUACGCUUCCCCAUGAUUUUCCUUCUGUGUCAUCACAUCAGCGAAAAGGUAACUUUUUGCUUAAUAAAUUUAUAUUAUAUUCUUUUCAAGAUUUUUGGGCACCAGUCUCUAUUUAUCUCUCCACAUUAAUGAUCUCUUCAUCUACACAAUUAUCCCCUUUCUCUCAAACUCCCCCCAGCCUACUCCAUAAUUUCUACCAUCUAAUUGUUUCCCACGAACCAUGGGCCUCCAUAGUUAUACCCAGUCGAACGAUUCAUCCCGAGAAUCUCUUAGUUCUUAUGGACCUGUUUAUCCCGGGCCAAUGUCUUUUGAAAAUAUUGGUAUACCUCGUCACUGUUACUGCGGAGGGACGGUCGUACUUGCGAAUUCACUCUCCGAGGACAACCCUGGCAGGCAGUUUUAUCAGUGCGAGAAGAGAGAUGACCGACCUGGGCGCCAUCUUGUUAAAUGGUUGGACGAGGGAUUUAUGGAGGAGAUUUCUGCGCUUAAGUGCUCUAUUAGGGAACAGGAAGAACACCUUAAGUUCCUACUUACCGCCCCUAACGGGGAGCACAUGGAUCUUGCCUUGAUGUGCGAUCGUCUGGACCUUUACCAGGAAGACAUUAAAUUGCUUCAGCAGAAUUUAUGUCUUUUGCAACGCUCCCCUCGUUCCAUUGUCGACGUCGCUCGUUCGUGUCCUAAAAUCAUCGUUCUCGUCCUUGCGAUUAUUGUCCCCGUAGCCGCGUUCGUGCUUGGCACUUAUAUGUAGCUUUAAUAGCUCUUUUUUCAUCCCUCGGCUAUUAUGUCCCCCAUUUUUUUCAUCAUGUUGUCUACUGGGGACUAUCGUGUAAUGUUCGUCCCUCUUUUAUUGUAGCCCGAAUUCUACAAGUUAUCUAUAUUUAAGA